UACAGAGGUCUCAAGCGUUGUUCGGAUUCAUUGGGCGUAAAGGGUGUGUAGGUGGCGCGCUAAGUCGGGUGUGAAAUUUCGGAGCUUAACUCCGAAACUGCAUUCGAUACUGGCGUGCUUGAGGACUGGAGAGGAGACUGGAAUUCAUGGUGUAGCAGUGAAAUGCGUAGAGAUCAUGAGGAAGACCAGAGGCGAAGGCGGCUACCUGGACAAUUGCUGACGCUCAGGCACGAAAGCGUGGGGAGCAAAAGGG
rnacentral:rRNA from 1 species